rnacentral:rRNA from 1 species
UGGGGAAUAUUGGACAAUGGGGGAAACCCUGAUCCAGCAAUGCCGCGUGGGUGAUGAAGGCCUUCGGGUUGUAAAGCCCUUUUGGCGGGGACGAUGAUGACGGUACCCGCAGAAGAAGCCCCGGCUAACUUCGUGCCAGCAGCCGCGGUAAUACGAAGGGGGCUAGCGUUGUUCGGAAUUACUGGGCGUAAAGGGCGCGUAGGCGGCUUCGAUAGUCGGGUGUGAAAUGCCUGGGCUCAACCCAGGAACUGCACUCGAAACUCCGAGGCUAGAGUGUGGGAGAGGAUAGUGGAAUUCCCAGUGUAGAGGUGAAAUUCGUAGAUAUUGGGAAGAACACCGGUGGCGAAGGCGGCUAUCUGGACCACAACUGACGCUGAGGCGCGAAAGCGUGGGGAGCAAACAGGAUUAGAUACCCCCGUAGUCC